GACCCAGUGGCGGAUGGUCCGUACCUGCUCAGUAUGUGCAACCAUCGGGAUACAUUAUGCAGGUGUUGCUCGUUCGAAUCGAGCCUGGGUCA